rnacentral:rRNA from 1 species
CCUACGGGAGGCAGCAGUGAGGAAUAUUGGUCAAUGGGCGAGAGCCUGAACCAGCCAAGUCGCGUGAAGGAUGACGGCCCUACGGGUUGUAAACUUCUUUUGUCAGGGAGCAAUUGAGUCCACGUGUGGUCUUAGCGAUAGUACCUGAAGAAAAAGCAUCGGCUAACCCCGUGCCAGCAGCCGCGGUAAUACGGAGGAUGCGGGCGUUAUCGGGUUUUAUUGGGUUUAAAGGGUGCGUAGGCGGUAUAUCAAGUCAGCGGUAAAGAUUGGGGGAUCAACCCAGUCGUGCCGUUGAAACUGAUGGUCUUGAGUGGGAUAGAAGUAGGCGGAAUGCGUGGUGUAGCGGUGAAAUGCAUAGAUAUCACGCAGAACUCCGAUUGCGAAGGCAGCAUACCGGGGCCCAACUGACGCUGAAGCACGAAAGCGUGGGUAUCGAACAGGAUUAGAUACCCCGGUAGUC